AUUGAACGCUGGCGGCAGGCCUAACACAUGCAAGUCGAGCGGAUGAAGGGAGCUUGCUCCUGGAUUCAGCGGCGGACGGGUGAGUAAUGCCUAGGAAUCUGCCUUGUAGUGGGGGAUAACGUCCGUAAACGGGCGCUAAUACCGCAUACGUCCUGAGGGAGAAAGUGGGGGAUCUUCGGACCUCACGCUAUCAGAUGAGCCUAGGUCGGAUUAGCUAGUUGGUGGGGUAAAGGCCUACCAAGGCGACGAUCCGUAACUGGUCUGAGAGGAUGAUCAGUCACACUGGAACUGAGACACGGUCCAGACUCCUACGGGAGGCAGCAGUGGGGAAUAUUGGACAAUGGGCGAAAGCCUGAUCCAGCAAUGCCGCGUGUGUGAAGAAGGUCUUCGGAUUGUAAAGCACUUUAAGUUGGGAGGAAGGGCAGUAAGUUAAUACCUUGUUGUUUUGACGUUACCAACAGAAUAAGCACCGGCUAACUUCGUG
rnacentral:rRNA from 1 species